ensembl:snoRNA
AUCCUUUAGUUCAUUAAGUGUGAUGACUGAGUGUUCAUACUUUUGUGAUAUGUACCUUCCUCAAACCCUGUUACAACCUUAGCACACUACUCAUCUGACU